rnacentral:rRNA from 1 species
AUUGAACGCUGGCGGCAUGCUUUACACAUGCAAGUCGAGCGGCAGCGCGGCCUUCGGGCUGGCGGCGAGCGGCGAACGGGUGAGUAAUGCAUCGGAACAUGCCCAGUCGUGGGGGAUAACACUUCGAAAGAAGUGCUAAUACCGCAUACGUCCUGAGGGGGAAAGCGGGGGAUCGCAAGACCUCGCGCGAUUGGAGUGGCCGAUGUCAGAUUAGCUAGUUGGUGGGGUAAAGGCCUACCAAGGCGACGAUCUGUAGCUGGUCUGAGAGGAUGAUCAGCCACACUGGGACGGAGACACGGCCCAGACUCCUACGGGAGGCAGCAGUGGGGAAUUUUGGACAAUGGGGGCAACCCUGAUCCAGCCAUUCCGCGUGAGUGAAGAAGGCCUUCGGGUUGUAAAGCUCUUUCGGCAGGAACGAAACGGUGUGCUCUAACAUAGUCCGCUAAUGACGGUACCUGAAGAAGAAGCACCGGCUAACUACGUG